rnacentral:other from 1 species
UUCCCUGGAGCGUGCGUGAUCCCUAUAUUGGUGCUGACCUCACAAGCAUAUUGAAUGGGAAUCAAGCGGCAGAUCGGUGUGCAUGCCCGACGUGUCGGGAAGUCUGAAGACCUGUCCACGGUUCCCCCCUGGGAGACCAGGUUUUGCACCGGUAUCUGGACACGGCGCUUCGGGGU